rnacentral:rRNA from 1 species
GUCGGUGACCAUUGGUCUGGGGUCACACCUGUUCCCAUCCCGAACACAGUAGUUAAGCCCAGACCGCCGAUGAUACUGCAUCGCGGGAAAGUAGGUCGUCGCCGGCG